rnacentral:tRNA from 1 species
GCCACGGUGGUCUAGCGGUUAGAACGCUGGCCUUGUAAUCCUGGGGUCUCGGGUUCGAUUCCCGGCGGUGUUG